AUACCACUUUCUCUCUUUGGGUAAACUAUUAGGAGGUUGUGAAGCGCUCUGUGGACACAUAUGGAAGUAGACAAGCAAAAUAUCCCCAACUUUCAACGUCCAGCUCCACAGAGAAUUGCCUAAAUCAGCUGCUUCUCUGAAAACCUGUGACUCAUCAAGACAUUUAGCAGUGAUUUCGGUCAGUUACUGAAAUGAGCUUCAGGCCCUGUGUACACAGGUGCGUGAAGAUUCAGACUAAGGCCUCCUCUCCAGCCUACGGUGAAGCCCCAACAUACAGCCUCAGCCUGUACACCUCCAGUCAUCUACGUGAUCCUUCUUCAGCCAUGGCCCCUACUAAUCCGGCCCGUAGUCUGUUGCAUGAAAUGCUAGCUGCACGCCAGGAGAAAUGCUCAAGGGGAACAAAGCUAUGUAUAAGGUGGUUGUGUGGAGGAGCAGCAGGUGAAUCAAAAGGGAGAUGCAAUAAAGGAGACAGGAACUGGAAAAAGAUAUGUACACAUAAUAGGGUGGCUGUGAAGCAAUGCAGAGAACAUGGAAGACUAGAACAAGAAACUGCAAUGAUUUCAUCUUGACAAGGUCUGGAACAGAGGAGUUAAGCCAUUGCCCACAGCUGGGCUUCACAAACAAGGGUGCUGUUUGACCUAUCAGUACUGAAAGGUUGCAGACCUUGCAGACUUUAUCAAGCAUAACUGACCCUAUACUUUAGAUAGAAAAGAAUCAAACUUCUGUAAGUAAAGUCUUAUUGACUGGUGUGGUUAUUUGCAGUCUGUUAUUUUGGGUUCAUAACCUCUCAUCAUGUCUCUUGUUUCGGACAGUGUUUCAGAUUGUCUGGAAGAAUUCAUAGCUCUCCUACUUUGGGUUUUUUUAGAAGCAACAGGACAGCUUGUGGUGCCAUGUCACAGCAGUUGCUUGCCACAGAAACCUCCUGGCUGCUCUUUUCUCUUUCUGCACAAGCUGUCACAUUAAUUGUUGCACCAUGAGAGAUCCUUCACAGCAGCAGUGGGGACCAGGACAAAUUUUAUCUCCACGUGCUAAUUUGGACAACCAUGAAAGCUGUCUUGACUUGUUACCCCGCAGCAAAAGACCCACCCUGGUCACUGCAGAAGAACUAAAUUACCACGCAGCAACAACCCCCUGCUCAAGCUUGUGGCCCACCCUAAAAAGCAGCUGAAAGCCUUCUCUUGUGCAGAGCCAGACCUCUACAGCUCCAUCACAUGGGAAAGUUGCCUGCAGCUGUCAUUUUUACGAGUUUUCCAGAUGCUUUGCAGGUCCUUUUCAAUGCCUGCAGGAUCAGUGUAAGGUGAGCAAGUUUCAGUGAGUUCCUCUGCUGCUGUCUCUGACCGUGCACGCCACAGUUUUACAAGAGGCUAUGCGCCUCUUUGGCCCACUGGAUGACUACAGCUCCCCUUUAGCAACAUCAGAGGCCUCAUCUCGGAGGGUUAGCCCACGAGAUAACAGGUGGGCAUGAAAGCAGGGUACGGCAAUUCCCUUUCUCGCUCCUUUGCUCCUGGAUUUUGCCUUUUCACCGCGAACCUGCCCCGGCACUCUCUGCUUUCAAAACAAAAGCGUGAGCGAAAGGAAUGAGGCUGGCAGGAGGAGAAGGAAAACAGUCGAUUUUUUAGCUCUGGGGGUACCCCUUCCCUUGUGUGCUCCCUCGCCACCGGUGCCAGGGAGCCCCCCAGACCCGAGAAGACCCCGGCCUGCCCCUGAGGGGCGGCCCUGCCCGGCGCAGCGCGGCCGCUAGGGGGCGCCGCCGCCCCGGCGGUGGGGCGGGAGCAGGGCCCGGGGCCGGGCCUGGUGCCGUCCCCAUGGAGCCCGGCGCUCGUCCAGGGCCCCAGCGACCAAAAGCGUCGUCGUCGUGAACGGAAAUCCGAUCCCCUUCGGGAUAAUCUUUUAUUAAAUUAAAAGAAGAACUACUCUUUUGACACAGAGCUGGAGAUUCACCUAAAUUUUGAGCGGUGCUUGGUGCAGAUCCUGAGCUUCAAGAAGAGUCCCUUUGCCCUUGCCUAGAUUUCAGGGCUGCCCAAGGGCAUUGCAGAGCUCGCACAGUGUCUGUCACGCGGAGUGUCAGGGAGACAUUUCAGCAAACUUCCAGGCACACACAGCUUUCCAGGGGCUCCAGUGCUAUCGGGUCAGGGCAGUCCCAUUGGGGCGAGUGGAGCAAAUAAUGGUCCGGACUCUGGCUUCUGUCAUGGGCUUUUUUUUUUUCUUUUUUUUUUUUGCUUAAAACUGCAUAGAUUGGAGAAGAAAACAAACAAACAAACAAAAAAAGUUGCAUCAAGGAUUGUGGGAAUGUGGACGGCGCAUGCUUUCCACAUACCUUUGUCAUUAAAUGUCUGGCAUUCACCUAUUAGUAUGUGGCUGCUUAACGAGGAAAUGGAAUACUGAAAGCACACCUUCCCCCCUCCAAAUAAAUGCAACGCUGCAAUUUUAAUUGCA
rnacentral:lncRNA from 1 species